UACGUAGGGACCAAGCGUUGUUCGGAUUUACUGGGCGUAAAGGGCGCGUAGGCGGCAAUUCAAGUCAUCUGUGAAAUCUCCGGGCUUAACUCGGAACGGUCAGAUGAUACUGCUUUGCUAGAGUGCGGAAGGGGCAAUCGGAAUUCUCGGUGUAGCGGUGAAAUGCGUAGAUAUCGAGAGGAACACCUGAGGUGAAGACGGGUUGCUGGGCCGACACUGACGCUGGAAGCGCGAAAGCCAGGGGAGCAAACGGG
rnacentral:rRNA from 1 species